ensembl:snoRNA Gm24782 predicted gene, 24782
ACCCCCUGGCAAUGGGCAAAAAGACACCUUGUUGGUGGUGUCGUUCUUAUAUCAGUCAGGGACAGGUCAGUCGGCAGUCCUUUGUUCAUCUUAGCUUAAUAGCCAAAGCUGUUUACUGCCUAGGACAAAUAA